UGGGAGCUUGCUUUUGAUUAUUUUAGCGGCGGACGGGUGAGUAACGUGUGGGUAACCUGCCUUUUACUGGGGAAUAAUCACUGGAAACGGUGACUAAUACCGCAUACGGUUCUUGGAAGGCAUCUUCUGAGAAAGAAAGGAUUUAUUCGGUAAAAGAUGGGCCCGCAUCUGAUUAGCUAGUUGGUGAGAUAACAGCCCACCAAGGCGACGAUCAGUAGCCGACCUGAGAGGGUGACCGGCCACAUUGGGACUGAGACACGGCCCAAACUCCUACGGGAGGCAGCAGUGGGGAAUAUUGCACAAUGGGCGAAAGCCUGAUGCAGCAACGCCGCGUGAAGGAAGACGGUUUUCGGAUUGUAAACUUCUAUCAAUAGGGAAGAAAAAAAUGACGGUACCUAAAUAAGAAGCCCCGGCUAACUACGUGCCAGCAGCCGCGGUAAUACGUAGGGGGCAAGCGUUAUCCGGAAUUACUGGGUGUAAAGGGAGAGUAGGCGGCAAGGUAAGCGAUAUGUGAAAGCCUUAGGCUUAACCUGAGGAUUGCAUAACGAACUAUCUAGCUAGAGUACAGGAGAGGAAAGCGGAAUUCUUAGUGUAGCGGUGAAAUGCGUAGAUAUUAGGAAGAACACCAGUGGCGAAGGCGGCUUUCUGGACUGAAACUGACGCUGAGGCUCGAAAGCGUGGGGAGCGAACAGGAUUAGAUACCCUGGUAGUCCACGCUGUAAACGAUGAGUGCUAGGUGUC
rnacentral:rRNA from 1 species